GAAUGGAUGGUAGAGGAGUUCAGAAUCAAUCCCGAGUUUGUUCCAAGUAACAACACCGACCGUAGCACUCAAGAAAAGAUAGAAAACCUUGUUGCAUGCAAAAUUUCUCGAGUGCAACCUGAACCUGAAUGGUAGGAGCAAGUCAAUUAAGAAGUGGAAAGAAAGAAGCACAAGAGAGGAAAAAUUGAAAUCCCAGCAAGCUUGUUAAAGGAAUAAGCCUGCCAAUGCUCUAUUAUUAGUUUAGGAACAAUCUUUUAUAUUCUUUUUCUACAUUCCAAGUUUAUAUUUAUAUUAAUUUUUAAGUUACAAUAAGGAACUAAAUGAGUAACAAAUUCUUUUGGAACAAAUUUUAUGUGGGUAGACACUAAAUUGUUCACUUACAAUUGGUGAAUCUAGAAUUUGAUAGAAUGACAGCGACAAUGACCUCUCAUACACUUUGUCUUUUUGAGUUGCUUCAACUCUAACAUUAUCCAUGGAAAGGACUGCGUUAUACUUACAAUAAGCUAUGUGCUUAAAUAAAGAGAAGUUCAUAACAAAUAGUUUAAGUUGGGUGAUAGCUAGCUAGCUGGUAAAGUCACUCGCUGCAAAAUCCUGCUUACAGGAGGGAUUUAGAAAGGGGAGGGCUAACGAACCUCCUAAUAAACAAAAAACUAAUAAACGGCAAGGUGCAUAAAUUCUAAACUUUCAUACUCAGUGAACUGUGCUCUGCCGGUUCUGCAGAUUUUUUUAAAAAAGAUUAGGGAAGUGGAGAAGAAAUGCAUCUGCACUCCAGAAUUCUGUAACCAUGAAUAUAUGAUCUUUAUGCAUGAAUAGAAUGUGUUGUGUAUGCUUAUGUUUUAAAUCUUACAAACAAAUGAAUGCUAAAUUCUUAUUAGGUGGUCAAUCAUCUAAAGCAAGCAAGGUUGAAGAAUCUUGGCAUUUGUUUACUCCAGGACCUGAUUUUAAUAAACUGCUAUCCGUUUCAUGUUUCAGGAACUGUUCCUGUAUAGUUUUUACAAGGAUCAUGAAUUCAUAAUUCUCUACUUUGAGAGCCUGAACUCAUCCUAGUAUUCCCUAGGAGUAUCAGUUAGCAGGAAAUGGUAAUUAAGAAAGAAAACAUAUCAAGAAAUGCCUCUUCUUGUUCCCCGAAAGAUAAUAAUGCUGCCUCCAAUGACAGAUGGAGAAUGGGUUGGAUAAGAGGCUUUAACUGUUAAAGUUGUCAAAUUCAUGUGAACAAAUCCUAGGGAAACUGAGAGGCAAAUUUUCUUUUGAAGUGCUCAAUGAUAUGAAGACAGCAAGCCUGCAAGCAAACUUACCUAGCCAAUCCAGAGAAGAAAAUUGAGACUACUGGUCUUAAUGUUCAAUAUAUGUACUUUUCUGAAAGGAUAUGCUUGGAUUAUGUUUUGUGUUGAUUACGGCCUGAAAUCCCAAGCCUGAACCCUAGAACAUGGAUCUUUUCCAGAAGCUAGGCAGAGCCAAAGGUGUAUAGACCUGUUCUGUUGUUUGAGCCAGCUGUCCAUUUGGAUUGAGCUUUUUCUUUUUCUUUUUAGUUUUUUUACACAUUAUUUGAUAUAGAACUUACAAGGAAAAAUAAAAACAACAAUUUUGAGGUCGAAUACAACACAUACCUUGUCUGGAAAAUGUUUUGGAUCAAGUUCUUAGGAGACUUGCUUGCUGCGUAUUUUAGCUGAAGCAACUCAUCAGAACUCAGGCGCCAACAAACGGCAGCCAAGUUUUUCUCUGCUUGCUUUACUGUCUUAACUCCAGGAAUUGGAAUAGCACCUUUGCAGAUGCACCAGUUUAUUGCAACCUGCUAACACAAAGCCUUACAAAAGGCAGCUAUUGUUGCUUUGGAAUGGAUGGCAUUAGAGAAAGGAACUCAACUAGCAAACAUAUGAAGCGGUAACUGAUCAAUUGUUUCUUUAUUAUAUUGAUACCUCGUU